rnacentral:lncRNA from 1 species
GGCUUCUUUUCUGUGGGCGUGGCCAAGGCAGCGGGGGUUUAUGACAAAGUUGAGCGACCUCAUGUCACUCAAACCAGCUGUAUUAAGGAAGGUGCAAGCUUUUGGGAUUUCUGUUUGGAUUUAGUUUAGGUUCAAAAGAGCACGCACAGAUCCUGAGUGUUGUCAAGCACCCGUGACUGGGAAACGGAGGCGUCCGAUCCGUAUUGGAGUCAAUUCGCCACUUAAUUGAACACAGCCUCGAAGGGAAGGGCCAUAUUUGUGGGCCUGUCUAACAAUUAAGAGUGACCACAUGGAAUGGGGGAUGAAAGGGUUAAAGAAGAACAAAUAUUGAACACAGCUUUUCUAUGAACAAACUGCAGGCAGCUGCUGCUUUGCAAGUUUCAGGGGUUACUCCAUCAUUAUCAUGGCAGGGAACAUGGCAGGAUGCAGGCAGAUGGUAGCUGAGAGUUCUACAUCUGGAUCCACAGGAAGCAGUUGAUUGAGAAUAAUGGUUCUGUUUUGGAGGUUGAUGGAAGAUGCCCUUUGGCCAGGAAAACAGCUCAUGCUUUUAGAGGAGGAUAAUUGCCAGAAGGCCUCUCUGAAUAAAAAAAAAUCCUGACCUCACAGCCUUUGCGCUUACUUGGGUUAGAAUGCCACAGUGAACAUUGCCCCUUGUCAUCACGUAGAGGUGCUCACAGGUAAAGCAACACAAGGAGCAUAUAGGAUCACCUGCUGGAUCUUGUUUUUAACACCAGGGAGGAAAAUGGUGUCUUGGGUAAUGAACAUGCCUCAAGACUGAGCUGGCCAUCUUCAGUGUCAUCCAAACCCUCAGUGGCCCCUGAAAAACCCUUUGAAAAGAUUCAGCACGUUGCCAUGGAGAACAUCCCACUGAAGGAAUGUAUAGAAGUAGCAGGGUUAACUGAGUGCCUUCCAUCUUCCCUCCAAGGGAUCUGCAAUGAGAUGGGAGAAGGCAACAGGCUGUGUGGGAACCACUGAAGCUGGGAUGGCAGGGAAAGAACAUCUUAGGCUAACUCUUCAAGCCUUGCUGUCACAUUUGCUUUUGAGUCUAUGGUUCCUUAUUAUUUUGGAAGGGUCUGAGAACCCACAGGGCACCCUGGGUCAUGACUCAUGUGACUGAGGAAGCACACAGAUCUGUGGAUCUCCAAGUCUAGAUGACAGCAAGCUAACAGGACACUGUUUAUGACAUAUAUAGCCCCCCCCCAACCCCUGCAGAUUUCAAAUAGGUUCUGACAAAGCUUUGUGGUAUCUGAAGGGUAGAUAGAGAAAAUAAGUGUAUCAUUUUGGUUUCUGUUUCUGCAUUACAGGUGUCAGCUGCCUACCAGUUGCUUUCAUCUCUAGAAAUCUGUGACUUGCAGUAUGACAAGAACAAAAGGUGACAAUACAAAGGACAAAGGGCAAGGAAUACAGACGGAGAAGCCGCUUAGAGUCUAGGAUGGCAGAGGUUCUCUUGAUCAUUUCAUUUUUGAGCGCUUGUAGAGCUUUGGUGUACCAGAGGUGCUUGAACAGCUUACCACACCACAGAUGAAUGGCCUUUGGAUUUCUCCUAAGAAAAUGUGGCUACCUGAAAUUCAACUCCAUUUUCUGGUCUUCAAUAUUUCUUUUGUGUUCAGUUUGCCAGCUGAGGAGAAGUGGCUAAGCAUAGCCUGUUACUGAUGCUAAAGCCCAAGUUCUGAACCUAACAACUCCAGCAACAUGAUCCUGUUUCAAGAGACAAAAAAGUGACUAAUGAAAGAAAACAAUUGAUGUGCUAUGUAGAGU